CUUAGAUGAAAUGGCCAACUGUAGGGAGACGGAACUACUUGAGCCUACCUCCAGCAGGAAGACAGGGCAUCAAAUGAGGAAGAGGGGGACUAUCUCAUACUCACAAAUCUGAUCCAUAAGUAUUCUAUUCUGAAAGAAUUUCAGAGAUGGGAACGGUGAGGAGCCUGAGGAAAAGAAGGUCCAGCAACAGGCCCAAAGUGAGAUGCAGCUCAAAGGGAGGUCCCAAGGCCUGACAUUAUUUCUGAGGCUAUGGAGCACUCAAAAAAAAAAAAAAAUGGACCUAGCCUUUCCUCAUUCCAGAAGACCCAACAAACAAGUGAAAGAGUCGGAUGCAUAUAUUUGCACCCAACCAAUUUUCUGAAGCAGCUGACCCCUGUUAUUCAAAUUGAGAAGGCUAAAUGAAGCUGAGGAAAAUGUGACCUUGUAGGAGGAUCAACAAUCUCAAUAAAUCUGGACUCCCUGAGAUUUCUCAAAUACAGGAUCACCAAAUAGGCAGUAUAUACCAGCUGAUAUGAGGCCCCCAACACAUGUACAGUAGAGAACUGCUGGAUCUGAGUUAAUUCACAGAUGAUACACCUAACCCUCAUGGGACUGGAGGCCCCAGGGAGAUUAGAGGUCAGAUAAGACCCUAGCAUGGCUCUCCUUAGAGAUGCUCCACCCAGCAGUUGACAUAGACAGUUCCAGAAAACCACAAAGGACAUCAUCAUCGGCUAAAUAUAAGUUAUGGAAGAGGCAUGGUCCCCCUAGGAUUUCCGAAUAACUGAGUGCUGCAGGUCGGGACAAAUGGCCAAAUGUCAGACCCAAGGAUCACCAUGGAUAGAUCUCUCACCAUAUUGAUGAUGCUGGUCAUGACAGCGACAGCAACAGCCAGGAAAGCCCAGACCUAUCAGGUUUAAGUACCUUUAUAGUUACUUCCACCUUUUCAAAAGGCAGAGAAUAUUGUGUUUUGACUGAAUUGCUUCCUCGCAUCACAGUACACCCACUUGAUGAUUUUCUAAGAUUCUGGGAGAGAGGAUCCACACAUCCCUAGAGGCACAGCAAGCCCUUCACUGCAAAGAACCUGUCUCCAGACAUUUUUCUAGUCACUUCAAUCAGAUCUCUGAGUCAACUUACCUGCCAGCUCGUCACAUGAAUUAACCAUCAUAUUUCUGCAGCGUUCUUUGGAGAGAACCUGUUUUUACCUUCCCUAAUAAGGAAGGCUCCUGAUUUUUGAACUAAUUUUAUAUCCAUCCAGUGCCUGAUAAAUACAGAAGUGGAUGCUCACAGCUGUGCAUGGGGUCUCCAAUGGAUGAGCUAGAAGAAAGGACUAAAGGAGCUGAAGGAGCUUGCACCUCCAAGGGAGGAACAACAAUAUGCAUCAACCAGUACACCCCAAAACUUCCAGGGACUAAACCACCAACCAAAGAGUACACAUGGAGGAAUCGAUGGCUCCAGCUGCAUAUGUAGCAGAGGAUGGCCUUGUUGGACAUCAAUGUGAAGAGAGAGACCCUUCACUGCUCGAUGCCCCAGUGUAGGGGAAUAACAGGAAAUGGGAGCUGGAGUGGGUGGGUUCAUGAGCAGGGAUAGGGUGAAUGGGAUAGUGCACCUAUAAGAAACAAGACAGAAGAGAUUGGCUAUGCCAAAGCCUAAAGACAUCGAAAAUUUUUGAGUCAAAUUGCAUCAAGACAACCUGUUUAUUAUACAUAUGGUCAAUAGUUGAACAGUAAAAAGAACAGUUUAAAGGGAUGUUGGAUCAAGCAAGGACGUUGGCAUUUAAAGUGCCAUGUUCAUAAAGAGAAUGCAAAAAAGGUGACAAUUUUGUUUGUUUGUUUGUUUUUUUUUUUUUUGAGACAGGGUUUCUCUAUAUGGCCCUGGCUGUCCUGAAACUCACUCUGUAGACCAGGCUGGCCUCCAUCUCAGAAAAUCUGCCUGCCUCUGCCUCCCGAGUGCCUGGAUUAAAGGCUUGUACUACCAUGUCCCAGCUUUUUUUUUUAACCAGGCUUUUGGUUUUCUGUUUAUUUUGUUCUGGUUAUUUCAUUUUGGGCAUGUGAAUAUUCCCAGGGUAAGACAUAGAUGCUGAACAAAAAUAUUGUUAGGCAAAAUUUUUCAAGAUUCACUGGGAUAGGAAAGGUACACUAUUAAUUUAUGUGAGUACCAAGACAAUAAAAACUUAAGGUGUGAACUUGUGAAAAA
rnacentral:lncRNA from 1 species